AUUGUGUUGUUUGUCUCUGAAGCCGCCUCAUGACCAGCAAAGGGAUUUCACCUCGUCCUUGAGAGCAACACGGGGAGCGCGAGCGAGCGGGCGAGCGAGAGACGGGGGGAGAGAGAGGGACACGCGCGCGCACACACACACACACCGGCACACACGCACACACACAGACACACACACACAGAGUGAAAAAGGCGAGCCACCAAAACCCAUCUCCAGUCUCCUCCCGGGGGCCCCCAGCCCGCCUCUGUGCCACUUUGCAUCCCACGCCGGAGGAGGCAUUAACGAGACCGGUGUACCAAGUGAAGACCACUCACGUGUUGUGUCACUUUAAGCGCGGGUUUGGGAAAUCUCGCUUGCACUUUGGGGCUACAGCAAUAAGAAGCAAUGAAAAGAGGUUAUACGAGUUGAAAUCAAAUUGGAUUUGGAAAUGUUUGCGUUGGAGAGCAGCAGUUUGUUGAGUAUUGAUCGGAUGCACACGAAGCACUGUUUACAUAUUUUAUUAGUCAUUUUCCCUACACUUUGCAAAGCGACUAUAUUAAUAAAUAGAUUGACCCUGGUGAAUAUCUGAAGACGCUGGUUUCUGUGACUAAAUUCAGAAUGUGAUGAUGAAUGUGAAUUCAUUUUAAUGUGUUCCCUUCUCAGCUAAAGCAGGUCAAGACGAGGAAUCCUGUGAAUAUGCAGAGCCCUACACUCGGUGCCAGGCAGUCCAGGCACUCUGGGUGGCAGUCAACUGUACUUUCUUACAAAAGUUUAGGGAUUUGCUGGAACCCACUUGAGAUCCUCACAUACCCAGAUAGCCAAAGGACUUUGUCAAGGAAGGCAUAAGGAGGUGUCCCCAGGGACUGCCUUCUGGCUCAGCAGAGUUCUUUAGCCAAGGGCAGGACCAAGGGAAAUCUGUGGGAUUUGGGGCAGUAAGUGUGGGAAUCUGCAAAGGGACUGGACAGUGAUUUGUUUCCUUGCUUUUCAUAAAUAAUGGCCCCUAGUACCCUGAAAACACACACACAGACACAAACAGGCCAAUGAAGUAGGCACAUGUGAGAUUUGUAGGCAAUGGACAUUUCCAUCAGAAAAACCAGAGGAAAAUUUUUGAUCAGGAUUACGGGAGUGAGGCUCGAUGGCCAAGAGUGAUUAGGUUAAGGGCCAGAUGGCUUUAAAGUAUAC
rnacentral:lncRNA from 1 species